GAUUGUAGGCUNCGGAACUCGCCUAUAUGAAGUUGGAAUUGCUAGUAAUCNCGGAUCAGCAUGCCGCGGUGAAUACGUUCCCGGGCCUUGUACACACCGCCCGUCACACCAUGAGAGCCGGUAAUACCCGAAGUCAGUAUCCUAACCGCAAGGGGGGAGCUGCCGAAGGUAGGAUUGGCGAUUGGGGUGAAGUCGUAACAAGGUAUC
rnacentral:rRNA from 1 species